AUAUCGUAUAAUUCAGUUUCUCUGAAGUACUCUGAUCACAACUCACAUGAAGCUUCGCAGCAUGGAACAAUUUACUCAACACUUUCACUGAUGAAGAGGAACUGCUCCUCCAAGGUGUGUCCGGUGUUGUUAAAGAUCAAGAAUAAAUUCCACGGGAUCAGUUUUUUCUUACAAAAUUAACUAGCUGGGUUUCAGUUCUAACAGCCUUGUACUGUCCCAAAUGGAUCCAUGUCCACGAUAUUUCUUGCUCUCAAGCUAAUCCCACUUUGAUUGUCAAUCCAAGGAAAUUGACCCUCCAUAAAUUGGCUAUGACCAUUGGCAGUAAAAAAAUAAAUCCAUAUAUGUGUCAUUACCACUAAUUUCCAAUCUUCUAAUCUUUUUAAAUCUGAAAAAAAAAUCGCAACAUGAGAUUGAAAACUACCAGCAAACAAAGACAGGAGAGUAACAGCAAAACCCAGACCAAAGCUACAGUUACAGGCAACAAAAAAGAAAGUUAAGACAGUUUGGAGAGAGAUAAAAAUCUGUCUUAAAAAAAAAAAAGUUCAGAGAUCAAAGAAAGAAGAAAAAUGGUGUUUAGCAGCUUGAUUGUGUUAUCAGUAGCCCAUAAAUCAGCAGACGUAUGGCAACAAAUAGCAUGCAUGGGGUUACAAGAUCAAGUGAGCAGUCACCAGCUUCUUGAUCUCGUUUGCUGCUUCCCUCUUCAACAACUGGGCCGUUUUUCUCUUUACAUCUGGACUUUCCUGUGCUUGCCACCACCUGAUUCCUUUUUGUCUUCUUAUACUUAUCAAUCCACAUCAUCAGAUGAUGAUGACCAUCCUCAUCAUUCAUAUGCUCAUCAUCAUCAUGAUCGUGCCUCUUCCUCUUCGUCCUCUGCUGAAGUUGAAUACUUAUACUAUGACUCUGACUGAUCUACUCCAAUUUGUAUUAUCAUUUGUGCACGAUGUAGAAUUUAUCUUGAUAGAGGACUGGAAUAGAUGAUUGUACACACGUUUCAACUUCAUCUGCAACAUAAAAAAAGAGAGAGAGUUUCCAGCUGAGUAAGACAACUAAAGGGAUCUUGUUCAUGUUCAUCUUGUUUGUAUACCAGUCAGUGUUGACAGCGCUGAAUCGUUGUAAGUAGUUUAUUUAGUUUAUUUCUGAUUUUACGAAAUAUCAUAUCCCAUGGCUGUGUUAUAGCUAAGACUACAGGUCCUAUGCAAAAUAUAUGAUAGGCAACUACGUGUACAUAUUUAAGUUCUUGGGAAUCCUUGUUUCGUUCCUUUUGAAUAAUUCUCUACACGUAUGACCAUUACAAAAUUGCGAUCUUGGCCUUAUUUCAUUCGGGUUCUUUGGUGUAUCCUUAUUUAAUCUUGUUUCUAAUUAUGCAGGCGUGUCAAAUCUCAGAACUCUUUGGUUAUUGAUAUAAACACUGAUAGAAAUUCUGGUAUGAUCAUAGAUGAUGGGAUAGGAUUUCUAUUCAAGCAAUUGAAAUAAAUCAUGAAAGACUCUGCAUGAUUGCUUAUAGACUGAGUUGCUUUCAACUAGGUUGUUCUUGGAGAUUAAAUUACUACCAGCCUCACAAAAGAAUUGUGUUGCAAACAGACUUGUUAUAUUAUAUCUCACUUUCAUGUACCUUGUGAACAAGGAAAAACAGAAAAAAUCCCUCGGUGCAUGAAUCUUUUUGCAGCUGUCUGCUCUAUCUUGUGUGUAGACACAAGCGUGUCCUUUAUAGUGUUUUUGUGUACAUCAGUGGGUUUUCAUCUUGUUCUUUUGGCACCUAAUAAGACUAUGCCCCCCUUGUUAUCAUCCUGAAAUUUCUCAGUUGUGCAUUUGAUGGUGCAACGAUGCCAGCACCUACUUUUUAAGUGCUCUGUAACUAUGUUAAAUGGACUGCGAGAACUUACACGGGUGGCUAAUCUAUAAGUAAUUUAGCAAAGGUGUGUGUGCAGGCACACAUGCACUUGUGCGUGCAUAUCAAUCAGUAUUGAAGGAUUUGUGAAUUUUCUUGAGUUGCAGAUUGUGUUGUGCUGGCGGAGAAACAAGAGUUUUGCAGAUUCCCCACAUUAGAUGGAUGGCAGUGCACAACUAAGAGAAUUUUUUACUUUUUUCUAAUGGCUGGUGAAGUGCUUUGUUGGUAGAGUACUUUGAAAGCAUAUAUGCUAGAAUGCAUUAAAUAAUAUGAUUCUAUAUUUAUUAGCCAGUUUUCUACAAGCAAAUCAUUGUAGGAUUUCGAUAUGGUGGGUGAAACAUGAUUCUGACGAUGAUUUUGAGUAGAUGGCUCCAAGAUUUCAUUGGGAAAUUGGGAUUUUGAUGAGAAUUGUCAAGCAGACAUCUUGUUUAGAACUGCAAUUCUUCCCACUCUUGGAUUGUUCAGACCAAAGGAAUGCUGUUGUUUUGGGUUUUACAUGAAUUUGGUGUUGUAUAAGCUUCAUUUUAUUGUUCAUAACAGUUUAUGAUUAAACCAUGCUACAAACUGGAUUCUCUCGUUUGAAUUCAUGAACAGUUUGCAAGUGCAGUUAAAGCAA